rnacentral:misc_RNA from 1 species
UCUCCGUUGGUGAACCAGCGGAGGGAUCAUUACUGGAAUCGCAAGAUCCCACAACCCCUGUGAACCUACCGAAACGUUGCCUCGGCGGGCGCCCGGCCCCGCGCCCGGCGCUCAGCCCGCCGGCGGCCCCCUACUCUUCUCCCUGCAGCGUGGCAUCUCAGAGCCCCAGAAAACAAGUAAAAACUUUCAACAACGGAUCUCUUGGCUCUA